rnacentral:ncRNA from 2 species
CCUCGUUCUCAGGGCGGGGUGAAAUUCCCCACCGGCGGUAGGCAGGCAUCGUCUGCAAGCCCGCGAGCGCCCUCCCGUCAGGGGAGGGGUCAGCAGAUUCGGUCCAAUUCCGAAGCCGACGGUAUAGUCCGGAUGGAAGAGAACAAGC